AGGAUCAUUAGUGAAUAUAGGACGUCCAACUUAACUUGGAGUCCGAACUCUCACUUUCUAACCCUGUGCACUUGUUUGGGAUAGUAACUCUCGCAAGAGAGCGAACUCCUAUUCACUUAUAAACACAAAGUCUAUGAAUGUAUUAAAUUUUAUAACAAAAUAAAACUUUCAACAACGGAUCUCUUGGCUCUCGCAUCGAUGAAGAACGCAGCGAAAUGCGAUAAGUAAUGUGAAUUGCUGAAUUCAGUGAAUCAUCGAAUCUUUGAACGCACCUUGCGCUCCAUGGUAUUCCGUGGAGCAUGCCUGUUUGAGUGUCAUGAAUACUUCAACCCUCCUCUUUCUUAAUGAUUGAAGAGGUGUUUGGUUUCUGAGCGCUGCUGGCCUUUACGGUCUAGCUCGUUCGUAAUGCAUUAGCAUCCGCAAUCGAACUUCGGAUUGACUUGGCGUAAUAGACUAUUCGCUGAGGAAUUCUAGUCUUCGGACUAGAGCCGGGUUGGGUUAAAGGAAGCUUCUAAUCAGAAUGUCUACAUUUUAAGAUUAGAUCUCAAAUCAGGUAGGACUACCCGCUGAACUUAAGCAUAUCAAUAAGCGGAGGAA
rnacentral:rRNA from 1 species